rnacentral:rRNA from 1 species
CCUACGGGUGGCUGCAGUCGAGAAUCAUUCACAAUGGGGGAAACCCUGAUGGUGCGACGCCGCGUGGGGGAAUGAAGGUCUUCGGAUUGUAAACCCCUGUCAUGUGGGAGCAAAUUAAAAAGAUAGUACCACAAGAGGAAGAGACGGCUAACUCUGUGCCAGCAGCCGCGGUAAUACAGAGGUCUCAAGCGUUGUUCGGAAUCACUGGGCGUAAAGCGUUCGUAGGCUGUUUCGUAAGUCGUGUGUGAAAGGCGCGGGCUCAACCCGCGGACGGCAGAUGAUACUGCGAGACUAGAGUAAGGGAGGGGGAACCGGAAUUCUCGGUGUAGCAGUGAAAUGCGUAGAUAUCGAGAGGAACACUCGUGGCGAAGGCGGGUUCCUGGACAUUAACUGACGCUGAGGCACGAAGGCCAGGGGAGCGAAAGGGAUUAGAUACCCUUGUAGUC